rnacentral:rRNA from 1 species
AUUGAACGCUGGCGGCAUGCCUUACACAUGCAAGUCGAACGGCAGCGGGGGAGAAGCUUGCUUUUCCUGCCGGCGAGUGGCGAACGGGUGAGUAAUACAUCGGAACGUGCCCUGUAGUGGGGGAUAACUAGUCGAAAGAUUAGCUAAUACCGCAUACGACUUGAGGGUGAAAGUGGGGGACCGCAAGGCCUCAUGCUAUAGGAGCGGCCGAUGUCUGAUUAGCUUGUUGGUGGGGUAAAGGCCUACCAAGGCGACGAUCAGUAGCUGGACUGGGAGGACGAUCGGCCACACUGGGACUGAGACACGGCCCAAACUCCUACGGGGGGCAGCAGUGGGGAAUUUUGGGCAAUGGGCGAAAGCCUGAUCCAGCAAUGCCGCGUGUGUGAAGAAGGCCUUCGGGUUGUAAAGCACUUUUGUCCGGAAAGAAAUGGCUCUGGUUAAUACCUGGGGUCGAUGACGGUACCGGAAGAAUAAGGACCGGCUAACUACGUGCCAGCCGCCGCCGUAA